rnacentral:snRNA from 1 species
GUAGCUAUGGCGGUAUAUAUUCUAAAAUUGGAACGAUACAGAGAAGAUUAGCAUGGCCCCUGCGCAAAGAUAACACGCAAAUUCGUGAAGCAUUCCAUAUUUUC